rnacentral:rRNA from 1 species
AUUGAACGCUGGCGGCAUGCCUUACACAUGCAAGUCGAACGGCAGCACGGGUGCUUGCACCUGGUGGCGAGUGGCGAACGGGUGAGUAAUACAUCGGAACAUGUCCUGUAGUGGGGGAUAGCCCGGCGAAAGCCGGAUUAAUACCGCAUACGAUCUACGGAUGAAAGCGGGGGACCUUCGGGCCUCGCGCUAUAGGGUUGGGCGAUGGCUGAUUAGCUAGUUGGUGGGGUAAAGGCCUACCAAGGCGACGAUCAGUAGCUGGUCUGAGAGGACGAUCAGCCACACUGGGACUGAGACACGGCCCAGACUCCUACGGGAGGCAGCAGUGGGGAAUUUUGGACAAUGGGCGAAAGCCUGAUCCAGCAAUGCCGCGUGUGUGAAGAAGGCCUUCGGGUUGUAAAGCACUUUUGUCCGGAAAGAAAUCCUUGGCCCUAAUACGGUCGGGGGAUGACGGUACCGGAAGAAUAAGCACCGGCUAACUACGUG